CAGCACUGGUCGUGUAUUCCGCAAGGGCGUGCAGUGCGAUGUUGGGGUACAUCCUAUUACAGGACCUCAGUUUUUGUCAGAAGUGAGAUAAUUCUAAUCUCUGCACUACUUGCUUCUCGGAAUUAUGGAAUGAUGCUGAAUACACCAGAAUAGACAAGCCCAUCUUUUACCAAUGUCCUCACUGCGUCAGUUUUCUCUUCUUGGCGAUUGUGUGGAUGUAUGAGUGAGUUGUAAGUUAGAACAUAAAUCUGAUUCUCACCGCAUAUAAAAAAC